CCUACGAGAGGCAGCAGUGAGGGAUAUUGGACAAUGGGCGGAAGCCUGAUCCAGCCAUGCCGCGUGAAGGAAUAAGGUCCUAUGGGUCGUAAACUUCUUUUGACGCAGAGCAAUAAGGGACACGUGUGUUCCGAUGAGAGUAUGCGUCGAAUAAGCAUCGGCUAACUCCGUGCCAGCAGCCGCGGUAAUACGGAGGAUGCGAGCGUUAUCCGGAUUUAUUGGGUUUAAAGGGUGCGUAGGCUGUUGGAUAAGUCAGCGGUGAAAUCACCACGCUUAACGUGUUGUGUGCCGUUGAAACUGUCCAGCGUGAAUGCGCUCGUCGUGAGAGGAAUGUGUGGUGUAGCGGUGAAAUGCAUAGAUAUCACACAGAACACCGAUUGCGAAGGCAUCUCACGAGAGCGUUAUUGACGCUGAUGCACGAAAGCGCGGGUAUCGAACAGGAUUAGAUACCCGUGUAGUC
rnacentral:rRNA from 1 species